rnacentral:rRNA from 1 species
UACGGAGGGUGCAAGCGUUAUCCGGAUUUACUGGGUUUAAAGGGUGCGUAGGUGGGUUGGUAAGUCAGUGGUGAAAUCUUCGAGCUUAACUCGGAAACUGCCAUUGAUACUAUCAAUCUUGAAUUAUCUGGAGGUAAGCGGAAUAUGUCAUGUAGCGGUGAAAUGCUUAGAUAUGAUAUAGAACACCCAUUGCGAAGGCAGCUUACUACGGAUAUAUUGACACUGAGGCACGAAAGCGUGGGGAUCAAACAGG